UAAACCUCUUUCUGGAAGUUCAUUAGGAAGGCAGUGAGAGUCUUGCCGGCCACAUAUCUUAAUGUUCAUUUGUAUUGAUAUGACAACUGGCUUUGGCAAGUGGAUGGAUUUAUAGUACCAUACCUUGAAGGUGUGUAGGGGAAUAUUUGUAGUAGAUCAUCUUCCAGUGGCCAAGAGCUCAGCUAGUUCAACUGGGUUCCACAUUCAGAAGGAAAUAGGAAUACAAGACAAUAAGUUCCUUGAACCUGUCUACGGAAGUAACCUCAACAUAGGUGCUGGAAGACAAGAAGAACACUGAAUUGUAUCCUAUUAGCAUCCAGCUGUGAACCACAAUUAGGCUCUUUGGACCAAUCGAGUAGCA
rnacentral:lncRNA from 1 species